CGGGGCCUCGCCCUCCCACUACCCACGGCGGCGCCUGCGGCUCCGGAAACGCGCCGCUGGGCUGCUAGGCUCAGCAGUGCGCUAGCUGCUCCGUGGCGCUUCCUGCCACGCGAGGCCUGGGCCUCGCCAGCGCUGCUCCGCCAAGGGCCGCGCGUCGGCCGCCGCCAGGCUAGGAAUGGAUGGAAAGACAGAUUGUUCCUGGGAAUUCUUUCAGGAUUCAGUGACGUUUGGUAAUGUGGCACAAUACCUCAUCAAACGGAGUGAUUGAAGCUGGACCCUGAGCAGAGGACCUCAGCAUAUUGAAGAAACGUGAUAUCUGUGGGUAAGGAUGACCCCAGCCCUUCCACAAGAUUUGCCACCAGCUUCGUGGUCCUACGGAGCUGGGAGUGGGAUAAGGGGGCACCUGACAGUCUAGUCCCACACAGGCCCAACUUCCAGCUUAUGCUCCCUGGGAAUAGGCUGUAAGGAAAUACAGAGGGUCUGCUACACACAACCUGUCAAAGUAGCGGGUAUCCCUCCCAACUCAUAACGGCUUAUAAAGAAGUUAGAACAAACUGGCCACCAUAAUGAAAUACUUUUUUAACCCACAAAUUAUGUAAAUUGUAUGGGAACUUUAUUGUAGUUUACUGUUGUUUUUUUUUAAUUUUAUUUUAUUUUUAAACUUUACAUAAUUGUAUUAGUUUUGCCAAAUAUCAUAAUGAAUCCACCACAGGUAUAUAUGUGUUGAGAGAGGCUGACAUGGCAAGCUCC
rnacentral:lncRNA from 1 species